UGAGGAAUAUUGCGCAAUGGGCGAAAGCCUGACGCAGCGACGCCGCGUGGAGGAUGAAGGUCUUUGGAUUGUAAACUCCUGUUAAGUGGGAAGAAACGUCUAUUUUUAAUAGAAAUAGAUAAUGACGGUACCAUUAGAGAAAGCACUGGCUAACCUCGUGCCAGCAGCCGCGGUAAUACGAGGGGUGCAAGCGUUAUUCGGAAUUAUUGGGCGUAAAGGGUGCGUAGGCGGCAUACUAAGUCAACUGUUAAAUUCCUCGGCCUAACCGAGGCUCGGCAGUAGAUACUGAUAUGCUAGAGGGUGGAAGAGAGAAGUGGAAUUCUCGGAGUAGCGGUAAAAUGCGUAGAUCUCGAGAGGAACACCAAUGGCGAAGGCAGCUUCUUGGUCCACACCUGACGCUGAGGCACGAAAGCGUGGGGAGCAAACAGG
rnacentral:rRNA from 1 species